rnacentral:rRNA from 1 species
AGUGAACGCUGGCGGUAGGCCUAACACAUGCAAGUCGAACGGCAGCACAGGAGAGCUUGCUCUCUGGGUGGCGAGUGGCGGACGGGUGAGGAAUACAUCGGAAUCUACUCUGUCGUGGGGGAUAACGUAGGGAAACUUACGCUAAUACCGCAUACGACCUACGGGUGAAAGCAGGGGAUCUUCGGACCUUGCGCGAUUGAAUGAGCCGAUGUCGGAUUAGCUAGUUGGCGGGGUAAAGGCCCACCAAGGCGACGAUCCGUAGCUGGUCUGAGAAGAUGAUCAGACACACUGGAGCUGAGACACGGUCCAGACUCCUACGGGAGGCAGCAGUGGGGAAUAUUGGACAAUGGGCGCAAGCCUGAUCCAGCCAUACCGCGUGGGUGAAGAAGGCCUUCGGGUUGUAAAGCCCUUUUGUUGGGAAAGAAAUCCAGCGGGCUAAUACCCGGUUGGGAUGACGGUACCCAAAGAAUAAGCACCGGCUAACUUCGUGCCAGCCGCCGCCGUAA